AGAGUUUGAUUAUGGCUCAGGACGAACGCUGGCGGCGUGCCUAAUACAUGCAAGUAGAACGCUGAAGGAGGAGCUUGCUCUUCUGGAUGAGUUGCGAACGGGUGAGUAACGCGUAGGUAACCUGCCUGGUAGCGGGGGAUAACUAUUGGAAACGAUAGCUAAUACCGCAUAAGAGUAGAUGUUGCAUGACAUUUGCUUAAAAGGUGCAAUUGCAUCACUACCAGAUGGACCUGCGUUGUAUUAGCUAGUUGGUGGGGUAACGGCUCACCAAGGCGACGAUACAUAGCCGACCUGAGAGGGUGAUCAGCCACACUGGGACUGAGACACGGCCCAGACUCCUACGGGAGGCAGCAGUGGGGAAUAUUGGACAAUGGGCGAAAGCCUGAUCCAGCAAUGCCGCGUGAGUGAUGAAGGCCUUAGGGUUGUAAAGCUCUUUU
rnacentral:rRNA from 1 species